rnacentral:rRNA from 1 species
GACGAACGCUGGCGGCGUGCCUAAUACAUGCAAGUCGAACGCUUCUUUCCUCCCGAGUGCUUGCACUCAAUUGGAAAGAGGAGUGGCGGACGGGUGAGUAACACGUGGGUAACCUACCCAUCAGAGGGGGAUAACACUUGGAAACAGGUGCUAAUACCGCAUAACAGUUUAUGCCGCAUGGCAUAAGAGUGAAAGGCGCUUUCGGGUGUCGUUGAUGGAUGGACCCGCGGUGCAUUAGCUAGUUGGUGAGGUAACGGCUCACCAAGGCCACGAUGCAUAGCCGACCUGAGAGGGUGAUCGGCCACACUGGGACUGAGACACGGCCCAGACUCCUACGGGAGGCAGCAGUAGGGAAUCUUCGGCAAAGGACGAAAGUCUGACCGAGCAACGCCGCGUGAGUGAAGAAGGUUUUCGGAUCGUAAAACUCCGUUGUUAGAGAAGAACAAGGACGUUAGUAACUGAACGUCCCCUGACGGUAUCUAACCAGAAAGCCACGGCUAACUACGUG